GAAGACAAGGGGUGGAGCCAGGAUUAGAACCCUUGACCUUCUGACUCCCAAGCCUGUUUUCUAUCCACGACACCACGCCGCUCUCCAGCUUUCCAGUCCUUUCCUGAAGCAACUGGACAUUCUGGGAAAACCCUACCUUCCUUUCAGUGGGCUAAUUUCUCCUCAGGGAGAAUGGAGGAAAGAGAGAACUGAAGAAGUGGGAGAGGCCAUUCAAUCUGAAGCUUCCUUCGAUAUCCUCCUUCUGCCUUUCGGCCUGUUGCCCUUAACAGCCAGCCAGAAGAGAUUCCAAGUGCCAAGUUAUCAGGAAUCCUCGUGGUGAAUCUUCUCAGACUACAAUAGUAAGCAUCAUGGGACAAGAUUGUGAGGUCCUCGGAGAAUUUCCCUAAAGCAUCAAACUGGCUGACUUGAUAUUUGCUUGAUUUAGUCAAUCAAGGGCAUUUAUUGAGUGCUUGCUGUGUACUUUUAAAAGUCAUAGAUCAACUAAGAAGCAACCUAUGAGAACCAAUUUAGGAAUUCUGUUCAACUUCCCUAAUCCCUUAGUACAAUUUAUUGUGUUCAGUAAAUACCAAUGCUGCUGCUUGAUGAGAAUAAAAAGGGGAAUCUGAA